GUCCUAGCUGUAACGGUGCUUAUUUGCUGUAAAGGAAUCGACCCCUUUUGUGGCGUAGCCAACGCGUUAAAUAAGCCGCCUGGGAAGUACGGUCGCAAGAUUAAAACUCAAAGAAAUUGACGGGGGCCUGCACAAAGCGGUGGAGUAUGUGGCUCAAUUCGAUGCAACGCGAAGAACCUUACCAAGCCUUGACAUGUAGGUAGUAGAAGCCUGAAAGGGUGACGAGGUCGCAAGACCAGCUUACACAGGUGCUGCAUGGCUGUCGU
rnacentral:rRNA from 1 species